CGGGGAGGGAGGGGGGGUUUAUUUUUAGCCCCUGAAUGGAUCAGAGCUGGAGCCGGGCUCUCUGCCCCCGGCCGGGCCACGGCAUCAUGUUGUGCUGGGAGGGCUCUCCUGCCAGGCUGCUCGAAUGGCUCCGUCCCCGCCGGGGGCUGGGGGACAGGCAUGGAUAACUUCGAGUACAGCAUCCAGCUGAACGACCGGGAAUGGGCUGAGUUCUUCCAGGCUUCCGAGGAGUGCAGCCUGGCGCCGGCCUCGCUGGCCACGGCCGAGGAGCAGUGCCUCAGUGACAUUGAGCAAGGGGACACCUCGGGACGGGACUGUCCCCGCAGCACCGACGGGGUGACAGCAGCCGGGCCGGGCAGCGAGCCAGCAGCGCCUGGCACGGCCAGCCCUGUGCCACGUGGGGUGCCCGGUGACACCGCCCUGCGCUGCCCGGAGCGUGGGCACCUCUCCGGGCCGGAGCUGCUGUCGGGCAGCGAGGACGAAGCGGAGCCGCGCUCCGUGGGCAGGUUCCUGUGCGACAGCGACAAGCCCAGCUGCCUGGCACCCGCUGCCAUGCCCAGCGCCCAGAGGAGGCAGCCACCGCGGCCACCCGCGGCCGCCCCGGCCGGUGGCACAGCCCAGGGUGGCCCCGGGCAGGACACGGUGGUGACAGCGGCCGGAGGCAGCCCUGCCAUGGAGCAGGGCGGGGAUGCAGGAGGGGGACAAGCCCUGCUGGCACAGCCGGGAGCGGUGGCACCGCCAGAAGCUCCGGCAGCCUCUGCCUCGGCCGAGGGACCGGCCGAGAAAAGCGCUGUCCCCUCGGAGCCCGGGCUGCGGGGACCCGCGGGGGACACCCCGAGCCCGUCCCUGGGGAUGGGAGCCAGGGUGGCAGCGGAGGAGGAGAAGGCGGGCACGGAGCCGAGCUCGCCGGGCGGAUCCCCCAGCGUGGUGAGGCCCAAGGUGCCGGCACAGCCGAAGAGGAGCCGCAAGCAGCGCGGAGCCAGCGGCACCGAGGGGGACAGGGACCCUGCGGCGGCACCGGGCGCCACCGGGGCCGGCAAGGCACCGCCCGGCUCCCCGAUGUCCCCUCGGAAGGGCAGAGGGAAGGACAAGGCGGCCAAGGGAGCGCUGGUGAGGCUGGGCAGCGAGGAGGCUGCGGAGAACAAGCGGGCGGUGCCCGGCCCUGGCGCGGAUGGCGGCGAUGCCCAGAGUGCUCCCCCGAAGUCCCCGGGGAAGACAAAGGCCACCAAGCCCCCAAAGGCAGGGCAGGCCGGUGGCUUGGGCGUACGUGACAGUGUCCCCGUGGUCCCUGGCGAGGGCACCGCGCCUCCUCCAGGAGAGGAGAGCCAGGAGAUGCCAGGGAAGCCUCUCCAGCCCGGGAGCGCGGCAGCGUUUGGAGGGAAUGCUGCUGAGGGGGCUGGGGGGGAGCCUGCUGCUGCUGAAAUUCCCAGGAAACCCUCGGAGAUCCCUGGAAUUCCUGCUGCUGAGACCCCUGGAGUUCCUGCUGCUGAGAUUCCCAGGAAGCCCUCAGAGACCCCUGGAGUUCCUGCUGCUGAGAUCCCUGCAGUUCCUGCUGCUGAGAUUCCCAGGAAACCCUCGGAGAUCCCUGCAGUUCCUGCUGCUGAGAUCCCUGGAAUUCCUGCAGCUGAGAUCCCCAGGAAGUCUGCAGCUGAGAUUCCCAGGAAACCCUCAGAGAUCCCUGAGGUUCCUGCAGCUGGGAUCCCUUGGGAGCCUGCAGCUGUGAUUCCCAGGAAACCUGUACCUGAAAUCCCUUGGGAGACUGCAGCUGGGAUCCCCAGGAGUCCUGCAGUGGGGAUCCCCUGGGAGCCUGCAGCUGAGAUCCCCAGGAGUCCUGCAGCUGAGAUCCCCAGGAUUCCUGCAGCAGGGAUCCCCAGGAUUCCUACCAUUGAGAUCCCCAGGAGUCCUGCCAUUGAGAUCCCCAGGAUCCCUGCAGCUGAGCUCCCCAGGAUCCCUGCCAUUGAGAUCCCGUGCGAGCCUGCAGCUGGGAUCCCCACGAUUCCUGGGGGUGGGAUCCCUUGGGAAGCUGCAGCUGAGCUCCCCAGGGCUGUGAGCCCCCUGUGCUUUGCUGACGGGGCCUCUGGCAAGCCCAACUCCCUGGAUGUGACCUGGCCCGAGAUGUACGAGUACCUGUUCUGUGAUUCCCAGGAGGAGGAGGAGCUGGGCAGCUCCCUGGAGGGGCGCAGAUCACCCUUGCAGGGGGAAAUCUCCUGGCCUGAACUGUAUGAGUAUUUUUUCAUCGAGCCAGAAGGAAGCAGGAAAAAAGGCAAAGCUAAAGACAGGAAAAGAAAGAAGUUCAGAGGUUUGGACCGCCCUGGGCUGCACAAGGAGGCUCCCAGCUCUGCUCCAGACAAGGACACCGUGGUUAUCUCAGUCCCUGAUGUGUAUGAACACUUCUUCCCAGAGCCAGCCCCCAACAGGAUGGGCUGGAGAGGGAUUUUCUCCAUGGCUUCGGCCUCCGAGGUGAAGAAAGCUGUGGGGGCUUUGAGGUCCCUGCUGCAGAGGCAGGGGCAGCUGGGAGGAGGCCAAGCCUCAACCUCCCAGGCCCUGGUGCCCAGAAGAUCCGGGGAGGAGCUCGCCCUGGUCCCGCUGGGAGGAGCCCAGGUGUGGCCAGAAGAUGCAGACGGGGCCCUGGCACUGAGAGGAGCAGCAGAGGAGCCCCGGGUGCUGAGCCACAAGGACAUGUGCCUCGUCUUCUGCGCCUUCGCCUCCUGGGCCGUGAAGACAUCUGACCUGCAGGCUCCGGAUGCCUGGAAGACCAUGUUCCUGGCAAGCUUUGGCACCCUCUCGGCCAUCCGCUACUUCCGAAGGCAGGUCAGGGAAGGGCACCCCCGGACUUAACCCCUGCCACGCCGGAGCCGCUGCCCGGGGCCGGGACUUUGUUCUGGACAGUGGGAGAAGCCUGGAGGCAGCACCGAGAGCUUCCCCGGCCCCAUCCCGGACGGGACAGGGUGGCACAGGGAGCGGGAGCCUCCCGGGGACGGGAACUGACGGUAGGACAGGACAGGGGCUGGCAGUGCCCGCCGGCUGCUGCGCUGGAGUCACCUGGUGGCACCGAGGAAGCAGGGAGGUUCUUCAUCCCGACAAAAGAGCCGGGAUAUCUGUGAAGAAGGAAAAGAGAGCUUUGGGAAGAGCCUGGCUGGGCCUGGGCUGGGCAGCAGCUCCGGGGGAUGCAGGGGUCGCUGCCUCGGAUCCUGUGACCCAUUUGAGCACUCCAGCAGGGCUCAUCCUCUUGGAUUUCACUCCGGGAGGGCUCAUCCUCUUGGAUUGCACUCCAGCAGGGCUCAUCCUCUUGGAUUUCACUCCACAAGUCCCAGCUCGGGGAUAAGGUUUCUGCCGCACGUGGAUGGGUCCGUCCCUGGGGACAGCGGGGCAGGGACGUGUCCCCGUCCCCAGGAGAGGACGGGCAGGAGAGGACGGGCAGGGGUCAAGGGGUCACACG